UACGGAGGGUGCAAGCGUUAAUCGGAAUAACUGGGCGUAAAGCGCACGCAGGCGGUUGGACAAGUCAGAUGUGAAAUCCCCGGGCUCAACCUGGGAACUGCAUUUGAAACUGGCCGACUAGAGUCUUGUAGAGGGGGGUAGAAUUCCAGGUGUAGCGGUGAAAUGCGUAGAGAUCUGGAGGAAUACCGGUGGCGAAGGCGGCCCCCUGGACAAAGACUGACGCUCAGGUGCGAAAGCGUGGGGAGCAAACAGG
rnacentral:rRNA from 1 species